AUCAUGCUUAGGGAACUGAAUUCACCUGCAAUGUUUUCUUCAACUGGCCCAACAUAACGUUUCUCACUUCUGAGGAAAAGGAGCCUUUAGAUCAAAACAACAAAAAAAACCCAGCUCAUUAAAAUGAAGGAUUGAGCAGCGGAGAUUUAAGCAAUUUAUCGAUCACUGCAAGAGCACACAGGACUGGCUCCUGCUACACUCAGGAGACACAGACACAAGUCCAGUGCCAAAGGCAGAAACAGCUCCAAAAGUGUUGGGAUCUCCAAGUACUUCAAGCUGCUAAAAGUCUUCCUGUGCAUCCCUGUGUCCCUCAGCAGCUGCACUUUGCCUGUAUUCCCUACACCUGAGCUGUACUGGCCAAGAGGUGACCUCCAUUCUGAGCAUCUUUAGCAAUUUCUAA